rnacentral:rRNA from 1 species
UACGAAGGGGGCUAGCGUUGUUCGGAAUUACUGGGCGUAAAGCGCGCGCAGGCGGUCUUCCAAGUCAGUGGUGAAAGCCCGGAGCUCAACUCCGGAAAUGCCAUUGAAACUGUGAGACUGGAGUACGAGAGAGGUGAGUGGAAUUCCCAGUGUAGAGGUGAAAUUCGUAGAUAUUGGGAAGAACACCGGUGGCGAAGGCGGCUCACUGGCUCGUAACUGACGCUCAGGCGCGACAGCGUGGGGGAUCAAACAGG